CUCGAUCUCACAUCCCUGAGACGGUGACCUGAGCUGAGAUCAAGAGCCACUCAGGUGCCCAGAGCCUGGAGAGACCACGCAGGGAAGGCUCUGAGGCCCGUGGGGUGUGGCAGGACUGGGUGUCCUCCCCGGAACCGCCCCCCCGGUGGAGUUGCUGGGCUCUUUCCAGGCAGCCUCUCCGUAGGAGUGCGUAGGAGACCCACAGGAACCCGGCAUCGCCUGGUGCUCCCCUUGCGUGGCCAUGUGUGGCCGGCAGCCGCGAGGGACGGAUGACCUUCUCUUGGUAAGUUUGUGCGGAGACGGCCGGUGAGCAGAUCAGGGCGGGGAUGGUUCCUCAGGGCAUUCGCUGUUGAGUCAUAGGUCCCACACCUGACAGUGAUGUCACAUUCUGUGUCAACAGAGGAGCAGGCUCCCCCCUGAGCAGGAAGCUGGAGGUGGGACUCGAUCCCAGGACCCCAGGAUCAUGACCAGACCCAAAGGCAGCCGCUCAACUGACUGAGCCACCCAGGAGCCCCUCUAAUCUCUCCUUGUAAAAUCACCAGUCGGAUGGGCGAAGGGCCCACCCUAUGGCCACAUUGUACCUUAA
rnacentral:lncRNA from 1 species